AUUAGAUACAAUAAAAUAAACAAUGAAGCCUGUUGAACAAGAUGAAAUGUUUCCUGAAAGCGCAAGUUUCUGGGAAUCUGAUGAGGUUACUACUGGAUCGUCGUCGCAAAUAGAAACUGCAGGAAAUGAAAGAUAUGUCCAUGGAGACUUCAAUAAUGAUUUUGGCGAUCUUUUUGAUGACGAAGAUUUAGAUUAAAAAACUGAUGUCUCAUUUUUCUUUGUCUCGAUGUCAUCAUGUCUCAUCUGUGUCUCGGAUAAAACGAUUUUGGAUAAAAGAUUUUGCUUUAUCAAAAAGUUUUUUAGUUCAGAAAUUCAAGUUCCAAAAUAAAGUUAGUCAAUAAAGAAAUUCUUCUGUAUUUGUUUUAUGUGUAAUAUUUUUUAAAAAACCUGAAUUGAUAU
rnacentral:lncRNA from 1 species